CGAUCUGCCUUUCGGUGAGGAAUACCGGCGAGAAAUCGCCGACAAUACCGCAUACGCUCUCUUCGGAGAGCAAAGCUCGUAAGGGCGCCGGAAGAUGAUCCUGCGGCUGAUUAGCUAGUUGGUGAGGUCAUAGCUCACCAAGGCGACGAUCAGUAGCUGGUCUGAGAGGACGAUCAGCCACACUGGGAUUGAGAACGGCCCAG
rnacentral:rRNA from 1 species